GGAAUUCCUGCGCUACCUACACAUAUAAAGUACUUGUGUUCUUGCAAUAUCGCCAUACUUAUUUCGAUGUUUAUCUAUAAAACUGAAUGCUACCUGGGUACUAGCCUUGUGGCCUGCCCUUGUGGUCGCGUCUAUUCACGGUCAAGACGACUGUUCAUACCUCAUCACCAUGCGGAACCAGCUUCGUUGGACUAAGAUCGACGCUAAUGGAAAGGAAACAUCUCGACCAUAAGCGUUGUGCACGGGACCCACUUCAUAAUCGACCAUGUUUUACAAUCUCUGGCCAACGAUUUCAUUCCGAACACAACCCACGAUUUUUGCUACCGAUGCUUUUCUAAGCCAUGCCAUCAUCUUUGAGAUGUCGUUGAAUGGUGAGAAAGUAGAUAUCUCGAUGGGCAUUUACGAUCUAAAGGAGAAGAAUUCGUUCAUCUGAACAAUGAAAUUGCCUUUCAAGCAGGAAACUAGAAGUAGUUCUUGAUUGUAUACCCCACUUCAGGUACUUGUCAAAGGUAGAGAGAGAGCCGUGGUGACGGGGUGUCAGCAUCUAUAGCCUAUUCCUUCUGCACCGGUUGCAAGCUCGUAACCUGCAUUGUCGACAUUCGAAUAUAUAUUUAGGCAAAACAUGGGAGCAUUCCUCGCACUGAUGGCGGCCAUGAUAUCUCGAGGAGUAGGAGAAACUUCUGCGCCUGCAUGCGGCUCUUCAUCCGCCUGUCCCAAUUGUUCUUCCUGAGUGUCUGUUUGCGAUUCAUCAAUUCCCGGUACAAAUUGACCUUCUAUCCGAGGUUGACCAGGACCUACUUAAAAUAGUCAACCAUGAAUGAAUUGAAUGAAUGAUGUUUAUUACGCCCGGGGGGACUAACCCUAGAG
rnacentral:lncRNA from 1 species